GAGGGACGGAGAAGGCUAGGCCAGCUUGGCGUUGGUUGUCCAAGUUUAAGGUGGUAGGCUGGAAUCUUAGGUAAAUCCGGGAUUCUAAGGCCGAGAGCUGAUGACGAGUUAUCUUUUAGAUAACGAAGUGGUUGAUGCCAUGCUUCCAAGAAAAGCUUCUAAGCUUCAGGUAACCAGGAACCGUACCCCAAACCGACACAGGUGGUUGGGUAGAGAAUACCAAGGCGCUUG
rnacentral:rRNA from 1 species